UUAGCAGUGAGGAAUAUUGGUCAAUAGCCUAACGGCUGAACCAGCAACUUGGAGGAAUGUAUAGCAAUAGCUACUUGCAUCAUUGUAAAAAUGAUGCAAGAUCGACUAUGUCGAAUAAAAUUCUAGGUAGAAUUAUGAUAAUGACAUUGUCUGCCUAUGUGUCUUGACCAAAUUACGUGCCAGCAGUCGCGGUAAUACGUAGAAGACUAGUGUUAUUCAUGUUUAAUCGGUUUAAAGGGUACCUAGACGGUAAAUCAAGCCUACAAAGAAAAAAAGAGAAAGAAAAGGGACUAAUUUGCUAGAGUUACUUAUGAGGGGGUAUUAAAGUACUGCUGGUGUAGAGAUGAAAUUCUGUCAUACCUCUUUUCAAUCGAAAAAUUAUGGCACAGGUAUAGGCGAAAGCAUCCCCUUAUGUGAUAACUGACGUUGAAGGACGAAGGA
rnacentral:rRNA from 1 species